UAAAAGAAAAUUAUUUUGUUUGAUCCGGAAGAACACAAGUUCGUUCAGUGAGUGAUCCCAGAUUGCACUUAAAAGUGUCCGCGAUUGAUUCCCAGUGUUCCGAAAUAAUAUGGUCAGCAUAUCGGUCCGUGUUCCCGCCCUGAAAGAGAAUCGAUGUGAGGAGCCACCGAACGAGAGAAAGCUGCUGGAAAUUCGACAAUAGAAUGGAAUCAUCCUCUUGCUUCUUAAAAGUUGUAUACGAUUACGCCAUAAGGACAAGUACAUUGGGACAACAGCCACUGGUUGAAUCGGUUUUGUCUAGUUUAACAACAGCCGCCACUCUGUGGUGCAGCUUGGUCACCGCAAGAGGCGUCCCGAGUAUUCUGCUAAGUAUAAAGCUCGAAUCGAUCUCUGAUUCGGGGACGGAAGUGAAUAGUUAUUAUCUGAUAUUUUGUACUAUCAAAAUACAAGACUUGCAUGAAAAUUAUCGACGAGUAAAUGCUGUAAAUUAAAGUGAAUUUGUCUAAAUAUA
rnacentral:lncRNA from 1 species